rnacentral:rRNA from 1 species
AGCAGCCGCGGUAAUUCCAGCUCCAAUAGCGUAUAUUAAAGUUGUUGCAGUUAAAAAGCUCGUAGUUGAAUUUCGGGAUUCUACCGUCGGUCGGGCUAACAAGUCUGUACUGGUGUGUAGAAUUUCUACCUUCUGGGGAACUAUCAUGUUAUUAAUUUAGCGUGGUGGGAAACCAGGACCUUUACCUUGAAAAAAUUAGAGUGUUCAAAGCAGGCUUACGUCUGAAUACAUUAGCAUGGAAUAAUAGAAUAGGACGGUGGUCCUGUUUUGUUGGUUUCUGAAUCACCGUAAUGAUUAAUAGGGAUAGUUGGGGGCAUUAGUAUUCAAUUGUCAGAGGUGAAAUUCUUGGAUUUAUUGAAGACUAACUUCUGCGAAAGCAUUUGCCAAGGAUGUUUUCAUUAAUCAAGAACGAAAGUUAGGGGAUCGAAGACGAUCAGAUACCGUCGUAGUCUUAACCAUAAACUAUGCCGACUAGGAAUCGGGCGACGUUAUUCUCAUGACUCG